GCUGCAGUAGGGAAUCUUCGGCAAUGGACGAAAGUCUGACCGAGCAACGCCGCGUGAGUGAAGAAGGUUUUCGGAUCGUAAAACUCUGUUGUUAGAGAAGAACAAGGGUGAGAGUAACUGUUCACCCCUUGACGGUAUCUAACCAGAAAGCCACGGCUAACUACGUGCCAGCAGCCGCGGUAAUACGUAGGUGGCAAGCGUUGUCCGGAUUUAUUGGGCGUAAAGCGAGCGCAGGCGGUUUCUUAAGUCUGAUGUGAAAGCCCCCGGCUCAACCGGGGAGGGUCAUUGGAAACUGGGAGACUUGAGUGCAGAAGAGGAGAGUGGAAUUCCAUGUGUAGCGGUGAAAUGCGUAGAUAUAUGGAGGAACACCAGUGGCGAAGGCGGCUCUCUGGUCUGUAACUGACGCUGAGGCUCGAAAGCGUGGGGAGCAAACAGGAUUAGAUACCCUGGUAGUCCACGCCGUAAACGAUGAGUGCUAAGUGUUGGAGGGUUUCCGCCCUUCAGUGCUGCAGCUAACGCAUAAGCACUCCGCCUGGAUACACCGCCAGGG
rnacentral:rRNA from 1 species